AAUUCAGAGACGAGAGAAGAAAAGCAGCAGUUGCUGCUGUUACCACUGAGAGAUCAGAUCGAGAGAGAAAAUCAAGAACAGGGACAGUUAUAAUGAUCCUGAUGCUGCCAAGAACAAGAAAAGAAGGAGUUGAUGAUUAAAUUGAGAAUUACAGACUAGGGUUUGAUUUAGAUUUAACUGACAGAGAAGAUGUGAUGAAAUUCAGAGAUACGAAGAAGGAAUAAGAGUUGGGUUUUGGUCGAAUAUGUGCUUAAUUCUAGUUGGAGAGGUGCCAUGGAUGUUACAAGGGUUUGAGGUAAUGAACUGAGCUGCAGUUAGGGUUUUAAAUCGGUUUUGAGAAAUUGAGAUGAACUAGAAGAUGUUUCUGCUGCUAUUGUUCAAGGAAAUUGCAGAGAUUAUGAAUCGCAGAUUAGAUGUAUGUUUAGGGUUUGUUUCUGCUGGUGGAUUUUGCUAAAACAACAGAGCAGUUGAAUGAUUCAGGUGGAGUUGAUGCUUUGCAAGAAUGAAGCUGACGAUGUUGCUUUGGAUGGUGUAAGAAGCAAAUGAGAAGAAAUGGUGCCACGGGUUGUUGGUGACGAAACUGCAGGAAUGAAUGGUUGUGCCUGAAGUAGAUGAAUGUCUAGGACAGGUACAAAUUGCAAGUCGCAGUUAAGGGAGUAAUUGUUGGUGAUUGGCCAGAGAUUUAACUGAGUUGCAGUUGUUGUGAUUGGUUACAGUGGCUAUGAACCUGUAGUGCGAGUAUAUGAUGAAUGUCAGGAUGUUAGCAGUAAGCAUCAGCUGAGUACUUGGUGAUAUUGCAGUUGCAGGUAUGGAGGUGAUGCUCAGAUGGCAAUCGAACAAGAAGGGAGUUGUGCUGCUACUGACAUGGAAGCUGUAACAAGAGAGGUUGAGCUGAGCAGCUGUAGUCGAAGCGGUUGCAGUGAGUUUGGUGUGUAGCCGCAAUGAGAACAAGAGAUAGGGAUGAACACAUACAUGGGUUGGCUCUGCAGAGUUGCAACUGAGUUGGAAAGCAGCUGUUACUGGUUACGAUGUUGGUAAUCUGUGGUGGUGAUCAAUUGUUGGAGAUGAUGGACCCGACUGUUGCAGUGAAUUAAAGAACAUGGAGCUGAUGCUGGUUGAAUUGCAAGAUGGUGCUGCGAGUCUGAAAAGUUGCUAUACGUUGUGGUGUUGGCCUGAGGAAUUGGUCGAGUAAGCUGUCGGUUAUUUCUAAUUGACAAGCCAAAUAUUAUCGGGCUUAACAUUUCGUGGGCUUAAGGAAAUGGUGGUUUGGGCCAAGUAACCAGCCGUUAAAGAAAGGUGAAAACUACUACCACACCCAUUUUUCAGAUUUUUUACACUAAGAAACCCACGCCCAGAAAAACUCAGUCGCGCACCCAUUUUCUACGAGAAAAUAUCUCCCAAACCCAUAGUUUCUGAAAUUACGUUUCUUCACAAGCCGCAUAAUUUCUUCUUCAAUUCCUUCUCUUCUUCUUCUUCUCUACUGUGAUUUUUUUCUCUAUUGAUUCUUUGUUUACAACCACAAGAAUAAACAAAGGUUCCGAGUAGCUGGCGGACUUCACCUCAAGGGUUAUAUGCACGUAUGUGCUAUGAAGGGAGAAAAAUUAGGUCUUUUUCGAAACCAAAUUUGUGAGAUGAGAAGAAGAACCAAAGUUUUACUACCGGAGUCUGCUGUUGGUGAUCCAAGUCUGCAGGCAUUUCUAUCCAAGGUACGAUGGGCAGAGAAAGGGGUCGAAUUCCGGUUGUUUCUCAGUUUGAAACUUCAACCGAAGUUAAUGUUGUUGUGACUGAUUUUGUUAAUGUUUGAGAUGGAUUUCGUGAGAUUUUAGAAGAUCAAGAAGAACACGAAGAAUGGGUACUCAAAUAUGGAGAAUUUUGGUUUGGUUUGGAGGUCGUUUUUUUGUUAAUAAAACAGUUAAGUACUGUGGUUGUUGCCAUUUCUUGUAUGAAACAAUUAUGGUGAUUUAUGCUAGAGUUCUUAAAUGAGAUGUAGGGAGUUGGGUUGUUGUCGGAAUUUGCAGGGGAGGUACAGGUGCUAUUGAAAUCAACAGUGAGGUUAUCUCUCGACUAAUAGCGACACACACAGAAGAUGUUUGAACAAUUUCCUGACUGAUGUUGUUGUUGUACUGAAAUGGUGAGAACCGUUGUUGUUGGCAUAGGUCGUUGGCAGUCUGAACUCUGUUGAUUUAGCAAAUGAAGGAAGGUGAUUUGGCAAUGAAUGUCAAAAUUUUAGAUAUGUAUUCUUAUUAUUUGGAUAUGCUGGUUGAUGUGUCUUACUUACGUGGUGGCAGAAGUUACCAACUUUAAGCAGGCAGACUCAGAGUUUCGAGGUCAAGAGGAGAUAUACUAUGCUGAACCAGGUGGAGUGAUAGACUACGAGGAAGAUAGAAGCCGACCUAAGAGGAUUUAGCCUAGUAGGGACAGUGAGCUGCCAUUUCUAGUGGUAAGCUCAACAGUCGGAAUGCUGCCAGUCUCUGUGAAUUUGAUGCCUUUCCGGCCAAACUUCUGGUCAAGCGUAGGCGAAGAUGUACUGGUUUCGGUAAUGUGGUGGCAACGGAUGAUGGGUUUGGCGUG